UACAGGGGGGGCAAGCGUUGUUCGGAAUUACUGGGCGUAAAGGGCUCGUAGGCGGCCAACUAAGUCCGACGUGAAAUCCCAAAGCUUAACUUUGGAACUGCGUCUGAUACUGGACGGCUUGAGUAUGGGAGAGGGAUGUAGAAUUCCAGGUGUAGCGGUGAAAUGCGUAGAUAUCUGGAGGAACACCUGUGGUGUAGACAGCUUACUGGACCACUUCUGACGCUGAGACACGAAAGCGUGGGUAGCAAACAGG
rnacentral:rRNA from 1 species